ACGUUACGAUGUCGAUUUGGAGGUUGUGCCCUUGAGGCGUGGCUUCCGAAGCUAACGCGUUAAAUCGACCGCCUGGGGAGUACGGCCGCAAGGUUAAAACUCAAAUGAAUUGACGGGGGCCCGCACAAGCGGUGGAGCAUGUGGUUUAAUUCGAUGCAACGCGAAGAACCUUACCUACUCUUGACAUCCAGCGAAUCCUGUAGAGAUACGGGAGUGCCUUCGGGAACGCUGAGACAGGUGCUGCAUGGCUGUCGUCAGCUCGUGUUGUGAAAUGUUGGGUUAAGUCCCGCAACGAGCGCAACCCUUAUCCUUUGUUGCCAGCGGUUCGGCCGGGAACUCAAAGGAGACUGCCAGUGAUAAACUGGAGGAAGGUGGGGAUGACGUCAAGUCAUCAUGGCCCUUACGAGUAGGGCUACACACGUGCUACAAUGGCGUAUACAAAGAGAAGCGAACUCGCGAGAGCAAGCGGACCUCAUAAAGUACGUCGUAGUCCGGAUUGGAGUCUGCAACUCGACUCCAUGAAGUCGGAAUCGCUAGUAAUCGUGGAUCAGAAUGCCACGGUGAAUACGUUCCCGGGCCUUGUACACACCGCCCGUCACACCAUGGGAGUGGGUUGCAAAAGAAGUAGGUAGCUUAACCU
rnacentral:rRNA from 2 species